GGAAUAUUGGGCAAUGGAGGAAACUCUGACCCAGCGACGCCGCGUGCGGGAUGAAGGCCUUCGGGUUGUAAACCGCUUUCAGUAGGGAAGAAGCGAAAGUGACGGUACCUACAAAAGAAGCACCGGCUAACUAUGUGCCAGCAGCCGCGGUAAUACAUAGGGUGCAAGCGUUGUCCGGAAUUAUUGGGCGUAAAGAGCUCGUAGGUCGUUUGUUACGUCGGAUGUGAAAACCUGAGGCUCAACCUCAGGCCUGCAUUCGAUACGGGCAAACUAGAGUUUGGUAGGGGAGACUGGAAUUCCUGGUGUAGCGGUGGAGUGCGCAGAUAUCAGGAGGAACACCAAUGGCGAAGGCAGGUCUCUGGGCCAAUACUGACACUGAGGAGCGAAAGUCUGGGGAGCGAACAGGAUUAGAUACCCUGGUAGUCCAGACCGUAAACGGUGGGCACUAGUUGUGGGAACCUUCCACGGUUUCUGCGACGCAGCUAACGCAUUAAGUGCCCCGCCUGGGGAGUACGAUCGCAAGAUUAAAACUCAAAGGAAUUGACGG
rnacentral:rRNA from 1 species